ACUUUCAGUCGUGAGGAAGGUGUUGAGGUUAAUACCCUUGGCAAUUGACGUUAGCGACAGAAGAAGCACCGGCUAACUCCGUGCCAGCAGCCGCGGUAAUACGGAGGGUGCGAGCGUUAAUCGGAAUUACUGGGCGUAAAGGGCACGCAGGCGGUUAAUUAAGUUGGAUGUGAAAUCCCCGGGCUUAACCUGGGAAUGGCAUUCAAGACUGGUUAGCUAGAGUCUUGUAGAGGGGGGUAGAAUUCCAUGUGUAGCGGUGAAAUGCGUAGAGAUGUGGAGGAAUACCGGUGGCGAAGGCGGCCCCCUGGACAAAGACUGACGCUCAUGUGCGAAAGCGUGGGGAGCAAACAGGAUUAGAUACCCUGGUAGUCCACGCUGUAAACGAUGUCGAUUUGGAGGUUGCGGUCAAGAACUGUGGCCUCCGGAGCUAACGCGUUAAAUCGACCGCCUGGGGAGUACGGCCGCAAGGUUAAAACUCAAAUGAAUUGACGGGGGCCCGCACAAGCGGUGGAGCAUGUGGUUUAAUUCGAUGCAACGCGAAGAACCUUACCUACUCUUGACAUCCAGCGAAUCCUUUA
rnacentral:rRNA from 1 species